AGGGAAGGAAUCAUUUUUUACGGCGUACUGGCGCACGUCGAGCGGUAAGUGGUAACGACAGAUGCCCUGGCAUCUGCCGUAUACAACCGUCUACUCACCGCAGCAUGAGGUUAACCCCAAUGGAGGUGGACCGUUCAACGUUUGCGUUAUGGGUAUUUUUAAAAAUAAAGUAGUUCGAAGUCCGAUACACACGCCCAACACUACUAGUCAAUACAACCACUAAUGAACUCUGUUGACCGUCGAAAAACCAUGCGGACGGAACGGAUCUACUGAAAACGAACGUUUGGAAGCUCGAAUUCUCAAUUUAUGGGAUUUAUCUGUGAUUUUAAUCAGUCGUCCGACAUUUUUUCUACAAGUAUUGACUAUUCCGAGAAUUAUGAUGCACAAAACCACAUUUCAUUAAUAUUAAAAUAAUAGUAAAUGACGUCAAAAUAUGCUCUGAGGGUUGAGCCGAUUGUUCACUUUUGAAAGGAGUUAAUAUGUAUAGGCUGUGUUAUGAAAUACAGGAAAUACAAAUAUUUGGUUACAGUUUUAAUUUAAUGGAAUAAAUACAUCAACCUCACUAAUGAUGCAUUUCAAUAGAUAAAAGUACACAGGAAGUUUGUAACAUUGAACGGAAAUCUGCAUAAUACAAAGACUCUAGCAAAGUUCAUUAGAAAACCAAGCAGAAUCUGAAAUGUAAAAAACAGAAAAUAACACAAUUAAAAUAAAAAAAUAACUGCUUAAAAUACAUAACACUAUACAAUUUAUAAUAUAUAUU